rnacentral:rRNA from 1 species
CCUACGGGGGGCAGCAGUGAGGAAUAUUGGUCAAUGGACGCAAGCCUGAACCAGCCAUGCCGCGUGCAGGAAGACGGCCCUAUGGGUUGUAAACUGCUUUUGUACGAGGGUAAACGCAGAUACGUGUACCUUUCUGAAAGUCUCGUACGAAUAAGGAUCGGCUAACUCCGUGCCAGCAGCCGCGGUAAUACGGAGGAUUCAAGCGUUAUCCGGAUUUAUUGGGUUUAAAGGGUGCGUAGGCGGUCGGUUAAGUUAGAUGUGAAAUCCCGAGGCUCAACUUCGGAAUUGCCUUUGAUACUGGCAGGCUAGAGAGUAGUAGAGGUAGGCGGAAUGCAUGGUGUAGCGGUGAAAUGCUUAGAGAUCACACAGAACACCGAUUGCGAAGGCAGCUUACUAAGCUACUACUGACGUUGAGGCACGAAAGCGUGGGGAGCAAACAGGAUUAGAUACCCCAGUAGUC